AUGUAAGCACAAUAUUAUUUUUAAGAAGUUAAGUAUCAAAUAUGUAAAUAGUUAUACAAAAUUAACAGAGAUAGAGGGCUAUCUCAGAGUCAGGAUGACCGAAUUGUAGCAGGAUACUGGCCUAUGUUAUACUAUAAGGUAACAGCACUAUGGUUAACCAUCGAUAGAUACACGGUGGCUGAGGAGGCUGUCGAUAUGGGACAUGCCAAUUUGAGUAAUAGAAGAAGAGGAGGUAGAUCGAUACAUUUUUAGCUUGAUUGUGAACAAGAGAGGACGUGUGUAAAUCAAGAGAUUAACAAAUAAAGAAAUUAAAGAAAAGGCCUACUACAGUAUAUAUUUGUGAAAAUAAGUAAAUUUUGUAAACAAUUGUCUUUUCAAAAGUCAUAAACAAAACAAGUAUGAAAGCUCUAGUCGACACUGCUCAACUACGAGAUCUCCUGAAGUAGUGCUGUAAAACUAUCGAUUGAACUAUCGAUCUAUCGAAUAUUGAUAUUUCUGCGUCCAUAUCGAUUGUUUUUUAUACUAUCGAUAGAGAUGAUAUCGUGCGUUGCACAUCAAUUACUCUGGCGCAACUUCGCAAGUCGGCGGCUCUUUUUGUAUUUAUUUGUAGGUAAAUUUUCGUUGGUGUUGGUGGCUGGACAGAUUAUCACGGAACGACGAGCUGCCUUAAAAGCUAAGCAUGUGGACAUGCUUGUCUUUCUUAAUCAUAACUCUUGGAUCUUGGCAGAAGAAUAAAGGCCAUGGAUUUAAUUUUAAUUUUAAUUUUAUUUUAAUUUUAUCUAAACUUUUCUUUGUUAUAGUCCAUGAAGGAUCUCAUUAUUGUUUAUUCAAAUAUUUAUUUUUAUUUUUAAAUAUCCAUUUAUUUUUUGUUUUUGAACUUGAAAAUAUUUUCGAUAGUACCAUCGAUGCUAUUGAAUAAUUGUUGUAAAACCAUCGAAACUAUUGAAUGUUGCAACCAUCGAUAGUUUUACAGCUCUAUCCUGAACCCUUUGAGCAAAUGAUAUUCAGGGUGACCGAAUAUGGUAUUUUAAAUACUUUUUGGUAUUUUAUCAGCUCCGAUUUUGCUCAAAAGUAUUUUAAUGGUAUAUAGGUAGGUAGUAGCAUUUUUCUUCGAUUUUAUGGUAUUUUCGGUUUGGUCACUCUUUAAGUCUUAAUGAAUCGAAUGCUUAAUGCUUAAGACUUGCUUAAUUUUAAAACAAAUAAAUAGAAAACAUGAGCAAUAAGCAAAAAUAUAGAGCUGAGUGGGAGACUAUGCCGGAAAAUGAAAAAUGGCUGGGAAGGAGCGC